ACUCCUACGGGAGGCAGCAGUGGGGAAUAUUGCACAAUGGGCGCAAGCCUGAUGCAGCCAUGCCGCGUGUGUGAAGAAGGCCUUCGGGUUGUAAAGCACUUUCAGUCGUGAGGAAGGUAGUGUAGUUAAUAGCUGCAUUAUUUGACGUUAGCGACAGAAGAAGCACCGGCUAACUCCGUGCCAGCAGCCGCGGUAAUACGGAGGGUGCGAGCGUUAAUCGGAAUUACUGGGCGUAAAGCGCAUGCAGGUGGUUUGUUAAGUCAGAUGUGAAAGCCCGGGGCUCAACCUCGGAAUAGCAUUUGAAACUGGCAGACUAGAGUACUGUAGAGGGGGGUAGAAUUUCAGGUGUAGCGGUGAAAUGCGUAGAGAUCUGAAGGAAUACCGGUAGGCG
rnacentral:rRNA from 1 species